AUGACCCAGCCACCAACUAUAGUGACAAAAUUCUCCUCGCUUGCCUUGUACACAAGGUACUCAAGAACCACGCCGUGGACUUGAUAGCUCUUUACCUUCCCAUUGCUACUGUGCUCCGUAGCUCGUAAUAACUUCCUCCUCAUGAGAUGAUUCAAGUAUGUCUCUGCAACCUCCUCCGCACUCAACCCUUGGUGCUCAAUGGCAAGACCCUCUGAUAUCCAUCGCCUUGUCAGACGCUUCCUGCUGAUUUUUUGGCCCCUCGGGAAUAUGCUAAAAUACAAGGCACACGUCUUGAUCUCAACAGGCAUAUCAUUGUAG
rnacentral:rRNA from 1 species